GCCCCAGGAGCCUCACCCAGAGGCCGCGGGCCCCUCCUCAGCUCUGAGCUGGACCCAGGGAUGUAAACCCCAUCGCCUGUGCUGGCGGAGUUGCUUCUUGGCUUCCUCGAACCACUGGGGACCUUGCCUGUGGACACUCGGAGAUUACAAUGUGGCUACACGUGGCUCCAGACACCUGAUGGAAGCAAGAGCUCUUCCCAAUAUCGUUGUCAUUCUCACGCCACCUGCAUUCAGGGCUUCCUACAGUUACGGCGCUGCCGGGGGCAGGUGGAUUUCCUUAACCCUAACCAAGCACUGCUUGAUGGAGGCGGCUGCUCCGAGUGCCCGCGGCAUGGACUCAGCAGCACUCAUCUUUCCUGGGCGGCGCGUCUCCACUCGGGAGGAUGCUCCGGCACGUCCCUGCUGCCCUCAGUGAGGACGCCGGCCCAGCCCGCCCGACACCAGGGCGGGUUUUCCCCGCGCGCGCGAGGCGGGACUGGAGCGCGGGAGAGGCCGGGGCACCGCGCAGCGGGGACUGGAUUCACGCCUCAGCCGCGCAGCCCGGCCCCGCCCCUCCCCGGACAAGACCCGCCCCCGGCGUCCCGCCUGGGCGUCGCCCUUCCCCGGAAAGCCCCGCCCACCACCAGGCCCC
rnacentral:lncRNA from 1 species